rnacentral:rRNA from 1 species
CUUAGUGAUUUUAGCGGUGGGGGUACACCCGUUCCCAUUCCGAACACGGAAGUUAAGCCCACCAGCGUCGAUGGUACUUGGCGGGCAACUGCCUGGGAGAGUAGAUCAUUGCUAAGG